rnacentral:rRNA from 1 species
GUACGGGAGGCAGCAGUGAGGAAUAUUGGUCAAUGGGCGCAAGCCUGAACCAGCCAUCCCGCGUGCAGGAUGAAGGCCCUAUGGGUCGUAAACUGCUUUUAUACACCAAGAAAAACACCCACGUGUGGGUGCCCGACGGUAGUGUAUGAAUAAGCAUCGGCUAACUCCGUGCCAGCAGCCGCGGUAAUACGGAGGAUGCAAGCGUUAUCCGGAUUCAUUGGGUUUAAAGGGUGCGUAGGCGGCUUUUUAAGUCAGUGGUGAAAUCUUGCCGCUUAACGGUAAAAUUGCCAUUGAUACUGAUAAGCUUGAGUACAAUUGAGGUAAGCGGAAUGUGUAGUGUAGCGGUGAAAUGCUUAGAUAUUACACAGAACACCGAUUGCGAAGGCAGCUUACUAAACUGUUACUGACGCUGAUGCACGAAAGCGUGGGGAGCGAACAGGAUUAGAUACCCUGGUAGC